CCCUUUAGGAAAUUCGCCCCCCUUUAGAAACUUCGCCUUUUCUUUAGGAUUUUCGUCCUCCGUUCAAAAUUUCGCACUUCCUAACAGUUGCACUGAUAAUUAUUACAUGGCUUUAGUCAUUUGAGAUCAGUAUCAAAUAAAAUUUAACAUCGUUAAUUAAGCCAUCUGUGGAUAAUAAGCAGAGUGAAGUGGUGCCAAGAUUACAUGUGAAUUGGCGCAAAUUAACAUAUAGCUAUAUUCAUUAUCUCGCAUAAUUUAUAUAGCCAAAGGCAAAACUAUUUAUUAAAGAAUUUUAACUCCGAAUUAUUCCAGUGAAAUAUAAGAAUUUAAAGGUGAUGUAAAGUCCGUAAUGUAAACAAACGCUUUGUUUACAUUUUGAACUCAGUGCUACAGUUGUAAAAUACGAUUAGAUAUAUAUUAUACUGAAUUUUUAACACUUUUCUGGUUCGUUAUGCUUGUAAAUGAAUACAGACUAGAGAUUCAAUUCAAGAAAGUUCGGAAGGUGCG